rnacentral:rRNA from 1 species
UACGGGGGGGGCAAGCGUUGUUCGGAAUUACUGGGCGUAAAGGGCUCGUAGGUGGCCAACUAAGUCAGACGUGAAAUCCCUCGGCUUAACCGGGGAACUGCGUCUGAUACUGGAUGGCUUGAGUUCGGGAGAGGGAUGCGGAAUUCCAGGUGUAGCGGUGAAAUGCGUAGAUAUCUGGAGGAACACCGGUGGCGAAGGCGGCGAUCCUGGACCGACACUGACGCUGAGGAGCGAAAGCCAGGGGAGCAAACGGGAUUG